rnacentral:rRNA from 1 species
UACGUAGGGUGCAAGCGUUAUCCGGAAUUAUUGGGCGUAAAGAGCUCGUAGGCGGUUUGUCGCGUCUGCUGUGAAAACUGGAGGCUCAACCUCCAGCCUGCAGUGGGUACGGGCAGACUAGAGUGCGGUAGGGGGAGAUUGGAAUUCCUGGUGUAGCGGUGGAAUUCGCAGAUAUCAGGAGGAACACCGAUGGCGAAGGCAGAUCUCUGGGCCGUAACUGACGCUGAGGAGCGAAAGCAUGGGGAGCAAACAGG